rnacentral:sRNA from 1 species
UCGCCACCGGUAAUCGGCAGCGAGCGCCUCCG